rnacentral:misc_RNA from 1 species
AAGAAGCAGAAAUCGGAGCGAGAAAGUGAGAGAAAAUUAGAAGUAAACUCUGACAAAAAUUCAACUUAUUUAUUGACAAUUUACGAAGAUUCUUCUGUGGUAGCUGGUAGUGACUCCGCUUGUUUGUUAUUUUUCUGCUCUAUUGUUCUUGUUGAGUGGCUAUCUACCGAAUCAAAAACCCUAGGUACAUUUCAUUAUCUGCUUCUCCAGAUCUUCAACCGACUCUCAAUUCUUGAGUUAACUCCUUGAUCUAAUCAAUCACCGUACGGCG